GUUUCUUAAUGGAUGAAGUUUAUAGAUGAAGUUUAUAGAUGAAGAGAUGAGAAAAGUGAACAAGAUGAAGUUUAUAGUGGUUCAGCACGUAGCCUACAUCAUCACUCUUCAUAGGUGCAGAAAUUGAAGCCCUCUUGCAGAAGAUAGUUCGUCAACAAAUUUCAACAAAUCUCCCUCUUGAACUAUAUUCUGCUUGAAGCAAGGUGUCAUGGAUCGGAUUAAUGAGAAUAGCAGCUUCACUUUCUACCCCCAAUUUCUCCCCAAUUUGAUUAAGAGCAUUGGGAGUUCUUUAGGGUCUUCUAAAGCUUUCAAGGCCUUUUGUGAACCUAAGAUUGCGGUAAUUUUUUUUGUCUACAAGGUAAAGUCUCAAUUUUCAUCAAAGUUUUCAAUUUCAAACUGCGUAGUAGUCAUUUUCUUUCUUUUCUUCUGAUGACUCUGAUACCAGUUCUUGAAAAAAGUAGAAACAAAAGGUUUCUCUUUUUUUUUGUAAAAGCAACCUUUAGACAAGUGUGAUUUUGGAGAAAUUAAAUGCAGAGUUGCCUUUUUGCCCUUUACUUUUCUCUCACAUUUUCAAUAUCUUUGCAAGCAAUCAUCACUUUGAAGGGAUAAAAAUUUAAAGAACUGUUACUCAAAUUAAUUUAAAAAUCUUAAAAUACCAAUACAUUGGUAAAAAUUUAGAAUCAAAAUUCUAAAUAAGAACUUAGUAUGCUUUUAAAUUAAAAGAUAAAGAGAGCUUACUUUCGAUGACGUCUCUGAAUCUAUAAAUCACUGAGGGGACACCACCCGUUGGAGAUCUUCCUAUCCUCUAGGAUGAGAUUGGUUUGUGGUAACCAAUUGGGAUGGAAAAAUGUUUAGAGAUAUUUGAGAGAUUACGGAGAGAAAGUGGGAAAAGGUGGGAGGGUGGGGGAAAGUGAGAGAGUGUGAGGAAGUGGGAGAGUGGAAAAGUACGAGCGGAAGGAAAACAAAAAUAGGGGAUGGUUGAGAAAAAAAAAACAACCUUUUUAUUUUUAUUUAACCUUUGU